GGGUUUCAGACAAGGCGGAGUGCGGGGGUGACGCGGCCGGAGGGGGCUGGCGUUUUACGUGUAGCAGGUGCGGCCGCUUAGAGCCCUCGCGGAGAAUGAGAGACGUGACACAAGAGGUCCCAAGGGAGCAAACCUGAAAGCCAGCGCCACCUGAACGCACAGACGGCCAGGGGGCGAGAUGAUACUCCCCACUGUUUCCAGAUAGAAGAAGCAUCGCUUUCUUCAGCAGAUUGAUAGAUGAAGCAUAAAACAAGACCAGAUGCUGUGGUUUCCAGGAUGCACUUGGCUUCCCAUGCUUUAUAACCUGGAGCAUUUAUUGCUGGCAUCCUGAGUCUCCAUCAACCAAGGUGGUACAAAAACAGCACUCUACUUGGUUUGUGUUCUGUGCCCUGAAGCAGAAAUGCGUUUAAUUGUACAUUGCAAAAUAAACAGAUAUCUAGAGGAGAAGGUUAUUAAAAAUAUUUUGCGCAGUUUGGAAGAACAAACUAGAGGUCAGGAUUGCUUGACCUAGCGUCUCCAAGCAAACCCCAGUCAAGUAAGCUGCCAAGGUGACCUAGGAAGAGGGUGGCCCUAUGAGCUCUAGCAGCCAAUGGCCUGGGACCGCACCCUGGGAGGCAGCCAAGACAAAGGCCACAUAUAAGGGCUGCCUCUUGAGUAUUCCCAAGUAUUUCCUUGGGAAAUACUCUCCCAAUGAUCUACUAGCACUGAGGAGGAGAAGCAAAUUAGCAACGCAUAGCAUAAGUGUUUUCACAUUUGAUCUUUAGAACCCUAAUCCCCUGGUCUAAUGAAUUGUCCAACUUCAGGGCAAGAGGGUGAGCAUCAGUAAUUGUAUUGCUUACUUAUCCCUGUCUUCCCCUAUUCUAGACCCUAUUUAGGGGCCUCAGGCCGUCUUCUUGUUCCCUUCAUUCCCCUCUGUUCAAGGCUUGAAAACAGUAUUAAAAGCUAUCUGUAGCCAAAUUUCUCUCUAAUUAACUUGUUUGGGUUUUUAUCAAAAUGAGGUUUUCUUCCCAUCUUUAUUCACAGAUGGAAUAGCGGGAAUUUUCCCAGGCUGCAAUGCAGGGUCCCUCACCGAGUAGCUCCGUAAUCUGGUCGUAUAAACCCUUGGGGCUUCAGUUCAUGUGUAAAAUGGGAUUGGUGAACUAAGGGACUUUUGAGGUUUCUCCUAACUCUUAUACUCCUGGAUCCGGAAGUAGUCUGCCCCUGCCUUGAAUAGUGGUUGUACUGUGAUACCAGAUGAGUGUUUCUUAUGUUUUCUUUGGGCAGCAAGUUAUUCAAUAGCACAAAGAGAGUAGAUUUAGGGGAGGCAGUUGAUCUUGGGAGAGAGGGUACUCAGGGUAAGGUGCAACACAUGAGCUACACUAGAUGCCAUUUAUGACAGAUAUUCUCAAGUAUUUCUGUGGCAGUGGACCCCAAACAGGCAUUCAGUCUUAAAUGCUAGAACUCCCUUAGUAUGCUCAUUUAUUUAAAAAUGAAAUCAGGGUUGAGCUCUCUCCCUGGUUUGUUUGAUAUUUUUCUGAUAAUGGGCAUUCGUUGAUUUUUAGACUUAAUUCUAUUGGGCAAGGUCACUUUUUUACCUUAUGAAAACACUAAAGAAUCAUUGUAAAGAACCUUCAACCCAUACAGAAAGAAAGAUAUGGAAAGAGAAAUUCUCCUCCCUCUGAAGCCCUCCCUCCCCAUCUUGUAGUCAGAGAUAAGCAGUGUUAUCUUCUCUCUUGUUUAUUCUCUUGGAUAUUUUCCAUGGAUUUAUGCAAACACAGAUAUAUGUAUUAUCCCUUCUGUUUUAUUUCACUGAAUUUUGAUGGAUAAUUUUGUGGCAUGCAUUAAUCCUGGAGUAGAAAUAUGCAUGUAACAUGGAUGAGAGAGCCAGUGAAGAAAUUAUAGGAUUAGGGAACAAGAUAGAUAACAAACAGAAAAUAGUUGCUAAUCAAAUUGUCAACUGAUAGCAGUGAUUCUUUCUUUUUUU